rnacentral:tRNA from 1 species
AUCUAGAUAGUUUAUAAAAAAUAUUAAUUUGUGGAAUUAAAGAAAUAAAGUUUAUUUUAGAUA